GCUGGCGGCGUGCCUAAUACAUGCAAGUCGAGCGAACAGACGAGGAGCUUGCUCCUCUGACGUUAGCGGCGGACGGGUGAGUAACACGUGGAUAACCUACCUAUAAGACUGGGAUAACUUCGGGAAACCGGAGCUAAUACCGGAUAAUAUAUUGAACCGCAUGGUUCAAUAGUGAAAGACGGUUUUGCUGUCACUUAUAGAUGGAUCCGCGCCGCAUUAGCUAGUUGGUAAGGUAACGGCUUACCAAGGCAACGAUGCGUAGCCGACCUGAGAGGGUGAUCGGCCACACUGGAACUGAGACACGGUCCAGACUCCUACGGGAGGCAGCAGUAGGGAAUCUUCCGCAAUGGGCGAAAGCCUGACGGAGCAACGCCGCGUGAGUGAUGAAGGUCUUCGGAUCGUAAAACUCUGUUAUUAGGGAAGAACAAAUGUGUAAGUAACUA
rnacentral:rRNA from 1 species